GUUCUGUGCGGCAUUCUGGGAAAGCUCCCGGAAGGGCGGGUGGCUGGCCUCGCGUGGGCCACCCGCUGUCCAUCGUGAAAGGGGACGCGAGGCCAGGAAGCUGCGCUGUGAGCACAGGGCACGCCUCACCGAGGGCGCCGAGAGAGGUGGAGGAGGAGGCCGGGCCCGCGGGCGUCUUGGAGCUGCUGGGCCUGCACCGGCCCGCCGGACACCUCGGUGGGUGAGAAGAAUAAACCCGACGCCCUUCCUGGAUUUUCCACGAUGCCGGAUGUGGAAACUGAGGCCCAGAGAGGGGAGCCAACUUGUCCAAAGUUGCACAGCAAGGAACUAGGAGAUCCCUGUGUGCCUGAUUCUUCCUCUAGGUCUCCCUUCUCCGCUCCUCUCUUCCAGCCCUCCUCAGGGAAAGCACAGAGAUGAGACUGGAGUCCAGGAGAGACUGGACCCAGGAGGUAAACACAUGAGACCUGCCUCUGAUCGCUGACGGGCUCAGGCCUCCCUGGGAUGCUGAUGGGCCCCACUGCGGCCCCUGCAGUGACACGCCAUGAACCUCUGUCGGGCUGAACAGCGCCCAAACCUGGCGCCUCCCGGUCCCAGCAGAGCUGGGCCCGGUGGUCCCUCCCAACCGUCAGUUCGUGGGCUCAGAGACACGCUCUGCUGUGUGACCACACUGCCCCUCACUGGAGGUGGGGCUGAAGUCACCAACCUCUGAAUCCCACCUUCCUCGCCCGUCAAAGGGCAGUGAUGCUUCACUUCCGUGGCACUCAGCUUCCCUCAAAGAGCUGGAGAACGAAGUUCCAUUAUUUUGAGCUCAGGGACAUGGAGCCAGACUAUUUUGAAGAGGAAGGUGACCUGUAAAGGCCAUGUCCUCUUUCUCAAUUUAAAUGACGUAAGUUUAAGCAUCCAAGUAUGUAUGUGGUGAUGUGAGUUCUCGCAGGUCCAACUCUUUCCUCCUGUAAUGCCUUCUCCAGAUGGGACUGGAACUGGGUGUAGUUAUGUCAGUAGCUUGCUGUGUUCACAUGGGCGGACAGGCGAGAGUGCACAUGCAUUUCUUUGGAGUGAAAUUGACAGCCACUUUGGAUGAGCAAUUGUGGCUUUUAAGUGUGUGUGUUUUGGUCAGGGAGGGAGGGCGAUUCUAAAAAGCAAAGACCGCUCCAGGGCAAAUCAGCUUCCAGCUUUCCAAAGGCAAGGGCUUUCGGCUUGUUGACUUCUUCUCUGUGAAUGUUUCUGGCAGAGAAUUCGGAGGUGAGGUUAGAAGUCACCCCAGUGGAUAGAUGGGGAGUCACAUCUGAGCAGAGCCAGGGUGAGGCUGGACUCUUGAAGUGGGUGUUGGGCUCUGUCACAGCUGGCUGGGUGAUCUGGAACCUAUUGCUUCUGCUCUCUGGCCUCAGUUUCCCCAAUGUGUAAAAUAGAAACAUGGGAUCUAUUGGUAUCUAAGGCUCCUUCUGAGUCAAAAGUGAUAAUAAGUUGUGAUGAGGCCUAGACUGAGGAUGGUAAAUGAGCACAGAGUGGAGAGGAGGCGGGAGGGAUGCCUUGAUGACGUGCCAUUGUCUGAAGUCUUGUCUUUACCACUUCAGUCCAGGACCAACUUCCAACCACCAGCCCCGUGUCUUUUUGCCUGGGGGGCUUUCUCUGGUCCCCGAAUCCCACUCUGACGCCCUGUGUGAAGAACUUACCUGUGUGGGCGCUAAUACGCCUGCCCUAGGAAAAGCAGGAGAUGAAAAUAAACAGCCAGGUCUCGGCAUUCUGGUGGACAGCUCUGUGACACGUGUGCUUCACGCCGCCUCCUGGUUUCCAUGUGGUCACUCUCAAGUCGCCCGCAGUGGUAACUGAGUUGAUGACCUUUACUGGAUGUCUUCCGCUCCCCAUCUCACCUCCCCACUGCCCUCAAGUGUCUCCUCCUCCUCCCAACUUAAUCGCAGGUGUUGAGUCUGUCAGUUCUGCCACCAGGGACCUGAAAAGGAAGACGAUAGCUGAGAAGGAGAGAAGGGCACUGGGGCAUUCUGGGGUGUCGUCCCACGGGGGCAUUCAUUUAUUGGGAGCUCUUUGAGCUGUACACUUAUAGUGUGUGUACUUUCCUCUAGGUAUGUUUUACAUUGUACCAUAAUAAAAAGUUGGUGUAUAUAAAGAAUAGGGCACAUUUUACCGAGAUACCAGAAUAUGCUGGAGGGAUGGGAGUGGCAGGAAUCACACUGGACACAACACACAGAGUACACAUACAAAGAAGUUAAUUUUGUCAAAUGAUGUGUGAAUGAGUGAACUAGAAAAUACAUAUAUUGUUGGGUAAAUGAAUGAACCAGAGGAUAAUAAAGAAAUGCGUGAAUGAGGCAAUGACAGGAUGAGCACAUUUGAGAAUGAGCGAGUGAAGGAACCAGUGAAAGAAGUUGUCCCCGGUGACGAGUGAGGAGCUAAGUGCCCACAUGGACAAUGGAGGGAGGAGUGAAUGGAUGAAAGGACCACAAUUCCAGGAAGUAGGAGCGAAUGGACCGAGGAGUGAGGCCUGGAAUAAACUUGACACGUGAAUGAAUAUGUGAAGGCAUGGAUGAAAGAAAGAAUAAAUGAAGGAAAAUACUGAAGACAUGAAUGAACGAAUGAGUAGAUAUAAAAGUGUAAGGAGCAAUGAGCAAAUGAACAAUUAUAUAAAUGCGGAAGUGGAUAUAUGGUUCCAUGUGUUCUCGCUGGAUCUUAGGGGGAGUAAUUUGCAGAGCAGAAAAUGCCCAACUCAGAGGCAAGUGUCUCCCCUCACAUCCCCGGGGCCAAGGUCUUGGCAAAUCACCACGGCCCGCCCAGAGCAGGUUCCUGAGGUGAUUCAGUUUGGAUUUAAUAAGAACAUUGUUAAGCAAAUAUCAAGGAUGCCACGGAGUGGCCACUCCCUUGGAUCGAUUCUGGGUUCAGUGGAAAGAACUAAAUAAUAACUGACUACAAUUAUGCACCACAUAACCAUGCUCAGUCAACCACAGACGGCGUAUACGACAGUGGCCCCACGAGGUUAGUGCCACACAGCCCAGGUGUGCAGGAGGCUCUAGGGUCUAGGUUUGUGUAAGUACACUCUAUGAUGUUCCCACAGCGACGAAAUCACCUAGUGACACAUUUCUCAGAACAAGUAUCCAUCGUUCAGCGAUGCAUGACUGUAUAUCGUUUUCACGAUUAGGUCGCAGAUAAUUACCUAUUAUGUAGCCAACUCCCAGCAAGAUUUUAAUAUUCAAUAUUUAAAUAACACAUUUUCACUGUCUCCUUCAAAUUAGCCUCCGGGAAGUGUAAUUAAUGUCAGCUGGGAAGGUUGGCUGUGUGGCCUGGGAAUGAGGAAGGGGGUCGGCGCUGUCGCUGUGAUCGUCCUAUGAGACCCCGAGGCCGGGUGGUGCUGUGCACAGAGCUCAGGUUUGGGAAAACCUCGGUCCAGGACGUCGGGCAGGUCAGUCCCCAUCUGGGCCUCCAUCACCUCCUCUAUGAAAUGAAGAUGAUUCUCCUAAUUCCCCGACUCCCAGGGUUAUCGGGGCGCUCAGUGUAGACCCAGGUCAGGGUCAGGGUCAGUCCACCAGUCCCCCGCUGUGCCCCACAGUGCAGGCACAUCCCUCAUCCCGGGGUAAGCAGGUCUUCUCUUGAUGCAUAUUUCUGCCCCACAGACUGAGGGCCGGGACCGAUCUUGUCCUCAGCGCGUGUUCAGCACCCAGGGCAGUGUCUGCACACAGUAGGCACUCGGUGAACGUUGGUGGAGGAAACGAAGGGAUCUCGUGUAGUGUGGGUUUUAGAAGCUGCCUAAGGUCCCUUUCAGAACAACGAGGUUUGAUAGGCAGAUGGCCACUUACCAGGGUCCUCAUGGAGCUUGUCAGGGUUGCCCACCUCUGAUGCUCUUCCAGCUGUCACUUGUUCCCUUAAGUCCAUCGGUGUCUGCCUGUCUCGGCCCCUCCCCCUUCCUGUGCGCCACCGCCAAUAUCUGGGGGCCUGAAAAGAAUGCAGACAAGCUGGUCGGAUUGUGCGUGAAGGAAGCAUCCACGGGCUCUGAUGAGGGGCCCAGGGGCUCUGCUCUGAGUGACAGUGCCCGCGGGAAUGACGUGUCCCCGGGUCUCCACAUGGACCUGACCUGGCUCAGCCUUGAUGAGAGAUCAGCACAUGGGUCUGAUGCCCACAGGGACAAGAGGGGCAGAGACCUCCUGAGUCCUGUGAGUGCCUGGAGGAGGCGGUGAGGGAGAUGCCGGGUCCCUGACAAAGGACUCUAUGCUGCCCCUGCCAUCUGUCGUGUAGAUUGAAUACCUGUGAUUCUGGAAUUUCUUCCUCUUCCAGGAGUCUGCUUUCCUAAAUAGUCCAGCUUCACUCAAACUGUCUUCCCUUCUCUGAGGCACUGGGAACCACACCUGAUGAGGUCCCACCUUUGAGUGUGAAGGACAGUCCAUGGUCCCCUUGUCUGUGUCAGACCCUCCUGACUGUCUGGGUGAUGGCCAACCCCCUCCCCCUGUCAGCCCCGAGAGGAUUGGCCGUGGUGGGGGCAGGAGAGGAGAGAGUAUCAUCCUAAGGGGCCUGCAGUGCAGGGAGAGGAGCGGACUCUGGCCAUGAGGAGCCACGAGCUGGUGCAGGGAGCACAGCAGCCGGGUCUGCACAGCCCAGCUCGGCACGCCCUCGUGUAGGGGUCAGGAGCCCCGAGGGGACCCCUGGUGGGCCCAGGGAAUCACGUGGCCACCAGUUACCUUGAGCUCUAUCACAUACAGGACCCUCCACCAGUUCAGGACCUGCCUGUCCCCAUCUCAGCCAAUGGUGCUGGGCAGAGACCAGGUGACUGUCCCGGCCAGUCACCUACAUGGGCUCUGCCCCCCGCAGCGGGCCCAGCCUCACAGGGCAGCCCAGCAGGUACCCUGGGAACCAGAUCCAAGAUCCCUGCUCACCUUCCCAAGAUGGCCAAGGCCAUCUCCAGGCCACCUCUGGUGGGGACGCCACAGACAGCCAGGCCCCUCUUAUAUUUGCUACAUUCUUCAAGUGUCCUUGAUCAUCGCACAUUGCCCUUAGAGACAGAGGAAGAAAUUAUAAAAAUUAAAGAAGAAAUAGGCAGCAGUGGCUCCUAGGAAAUGAAAUCGUUUCCUUCUACACAGUUAAACACGAGCGUUUGAAAUGUCCUUGUCACACCUUGCACUGGCUCUGUCAGGGUGGAUUAUUGGAUUAUAAAAGGACUGGAGGUUUCUGGGCAUUCAAGGAGCAAAGAACCAGCUUCCGAGUCAGACAGACCUGGACCGUCUCAGCUCAGCCACGUCCUUGUGUGGGUGUCGCUUCAGCUUCCAGACCCUCAUCUGCUCACUUUUAAAGUGGGAGGUGACCCUCUCUCACAGGUAAAAGUGAAAGAAUGGGGGUGAGACAGCUCCGCACCUGGGACACUGCAAACAUCCAAAAUGAGGUUGCUGCCGUAUCAUCUAGGUGAGGAGUGAUGACAGAACAGUGGGUGUCUUAGGAGACACUUCCUGCCCCUUCGUCCCUCUGGAAAUUUCCUUGCUGGGCCGCUUGAGCCUCUUUGAUCAUCUCUUGUUCUUCUGAUAAAAUAAAGCUUGACUGCAGAAAGCUUUGUCAUCAAAGCUUCGUCGUCACUGUCACGUCCACAGACUCCACCUCUUACACGAGCUGCCCGGGAGCAAAGAGGCGAACGGCAGCCGCUCCCCCUGCCUGCGUCGCCGUGCACUGAGGACGGGAUGGGGAGUCUCACCGAGUCCCCAGGUCAACUGCAGGGGUCGCCAUCCUCCCACUGUGCAGGUGAGAAGCCUGAGGCUCAGAGCAGUGACGUCACAUCCACAACACAACAACAGAUGUUACUGCACCUGCCGUGAGACCCAGCGGGGAACAAGUCCCCGCGCCCGUGGGGCUGGCACAGAGGAUAAGGGAUGAAGACGUGACACUUGUGAAGGAGAAAAACAGAGCUGGCAGUCAGGUGGCCCCUUUGUCCCCACGGAAGGCUUGCCUGUGUCCUGCCGCCACAAGGCUUCUCAGAGCUGCUUUCUGCUGGGGAGGCCCUGGGCGUGGGAAGGGUGCCAGGGUUCACGUGCUUCGUCUCUGCCCAGCCUCACGACCGCCCUGUGUGCCCACAAUGCACAGACGAAGAAACUGAGGCUCAGAGAGGUGACAUCACCUGCUCAAAGUCAUGGAGUCAGUAAGUGGUCAGGGUGGCUUCAGGGUCAGAGGACUCGAGUUUGUGUCCAGGCUCGGCCAUUCAAGGGCUGUGUGACCUCAGCAAGCCUCUCACCGCUAAGCCUGUUUCCUCAUCAGCAACAUGACGAUGACAGCAGGACCUGCGUCAUGGGGCUGUUGUGAUGGGAAAUGAGCUGGUGCUCGGGAUGCAGAGGACAGUGCCUGGCACAGAGCGACGGUGAUGAUGAUGAUGAUAGUGACGCCCUCUCCGAUGGUGCUGACUCCGUUUACCCUUCAGGGCGGCCCUCAAAUGGAACGUGGUGUGACCUUUAACGAAGCCAGCUGGCGUCUCCAGCGGGCAGAUAAGAAAACUGAGACUCAAAGGCGGGGAGUCGUUCGCUAAAGCCACAAGAUGCUGAAAGCAGAGCCGAUUCUUUCAUCUUAUUGUGCUUUCCAUCCAUCCUGGUUUUCCCCUUUGCUUCUUUCUUCACUUUCCUUUUGACUCAUUUUCUUCUGUCCAUUACAUUGAUCAAAUAUUCUUCAUUACCUUUCUGCUUCCGUUGGUUUCAAAAGUCUGCAUCCCAUUUCUGUCCGUUUAUUAGUUACCUUAAAAAUGGAGGAAGUGUGCUUAUUUGGACUAACACAGCUUAAAGCUCGUCAGCCUCUCUGCCCUCCCUGUGAAUGGCACCAGGACUCCAAACGCCUUGACUCCAGUCUCCCAUCUUCAUGUCGGCUUCAGCUAGUGUUACGAUUCUGUCUCCUUUUUCCACCUCUCCCAACUUAGUUCUCACUAUUACUGUUGUUGGUUUCCCUCUUGUUUCUUGUAGACAACGAGUAGAUUUACCCCAUGUUCAUGGAUAAUUCUGCAUGCUUUUCCUACUUUCAUGCUAUUCCUUCCUUG
ensembl:lncRNA